GUUUUUUAUGGUUAGACGAUAGGGGUUAAGUGUACUGAGGUAAAUGUUAAGGGUUAAUGUUGUUUAUUUAGGGUUUGAGGAUAGGGGUUAAGUGUACUGAGGUAAAUGUUAAGGUUGUUUAUUUAGGGUUUGAGGAUAGGGGAUAAAUGUACUGAGGUAAAUAUUAAGGUUUAAGGGUUUUUUAAGGUUUGAGGAUAGGGGUUAAUUGUACUGAGGUAAAUGUUAAGGUUUAAGGGUUUUUUAAGGUUUGAGGAUAGGGGUUAAUUGUACUGAGGUAAAUAUUAAGGGUUAAGGUUGUCAGUUGUUUUAAGAUGUUAAAGGCAAAAAAGUGAAAGCAUAAUGAGACUUUAAAGGGUGUUAAAUAACAGACUCUGGAUUUAAACCGGACUCUCUGAUGUCCUGUACACUUUGUUAAAUACCACUCACCUCUCUGACCUUUAAAGUGCUGACUGUGCCUCAGGAUAAAGUCUGAUAUUGACGGAGACCAGGUGAACAGGGGUGUGUUAUCAGGAAUCUGCUUCAAAAAUCAGAUAAAUGUACUGAAAUGUGAAGCUCGUCAGCUGUGCGGUCUCUGACACAAAUGUUAUCUACUUUUAAAGCUAAUGAAGCCGUGCUGUGUGGUGAUUAGUUACGUUGUUGUACGUUGCUUUUUUGGUUGCAGUUAUAUGUUUGUUUCAGGGCUGCACUAUAAUGAUGAUAAAGGAACAAAAGAAAUCAUAGAAGUAAAAACCAGAUGACUGCAACAUAUCUGACACAUUUACAUUUCUUAAAUACGAUUAUAAAAUGUGAUCUUUUAAGAAGUCACGACAUUAGGCCAUAGCAACAAAAUGCAAACAAAAUUUUGCGUCUCGUUAUGGGAUUGAGCUUAGAGAAUUGAACAGAUAUGGAGUUGUGUGUUAAUUUACAGAUAACAGUAUAACAUUUAUUCAAUUUAACAUGAAAUCCACACAUCUUUGCAAAAUACAGUAUAUAGAAAUCUCAUACCUUAUAUAUAUUCAUCAUCAUACAUAUAAAGUAAUGUGUAUACAUAAGUAAUGUGUAUACGUAAGUACAUAUGUGUAUGUACUUUAAGUCUCAUAUAUAAUGCACAUAAUGGAGCUUUUGCUUUAAUAGUUCAGUAAAGUAUGGGAUCACUAGUGCCCCCUGGUGGUGUGGUUUGGUUUUUCUUUUCUGGAAAAGACUCAGCUGUUUUAAAAAAAAGAAAAAGAAAGAAAAACACACAAAAUAGGUCAGUGUACACACACUGUCCUGUUUUCAUGGCAGACAGAGUGUGUUCCCCUGUGCUUUAGUGUGGACUUCAAACACUGACGGGUUAAAACACACAGUGACCUUGUUAGGUUUCAUGAAACAGCAAAAUUUGUUUGUAUUAAAAAUAAAAAAUAUACAUUAUUACUUCGUCUGAAUCACUUCUAAUGUACAGCUCUGCCCAUGAAAUUUAGACUACGCCCCCAACUCAAUCCUGAAAUGAAUUCUUGAAGACGUGCGCUCAUAAGGAAGUCUGUGAUGCUAAACUGCUAGCUAUAAGCAUCUAUUACUUGUUAGCCACGUUAGCUAACAAUGUUGUGUGUUACAGUCUUUCGUGCAAUUCUGUGGUUUUGCUGGACGUUUAUUUUAGUCAGGCAGCGACCGUGGAUGCCCCGUGACGACCAGCUGACAGGCGGCGGCUAAAAUUAACACCAGGGUGGUAGAAACUGGAAAAGUGGACACAUUCAUAUGUGCCAGCUCUGUGUGUGUGUGAGAGAGAGAGAGAGAGAGAGAGACUGGGGUGGAGUGCCAAAAACAUCUCCAAAAUAGAUUGAAUGCUUUUAUAACAUGAAUCUUUAAAACAUAAAAAAGAAGAUGUUUAAUACAUUAGAUAAACCGGUUAAAAUGAAGCACGUGAACGUUUUUAACACUUCGGGCUUCAUUUAGAAAGAAUAACACUUCUGAUGUUGUAUUGUGACUAUUUUAUAUAUACUAUACUAUAGCAUGGCAGAGCAUAUGUAGUUAGUCUUUUGUGGGCGGAGCCACGUUAGAACUGUAUUUCCGCUUUCUGUAAAGCACGGAAACUGUUUAGCAAUAUUGGUAGAAAUUGGUUAAGAUAUCCGUGUGUGUGUGUGUGUGAGACGUUACUCGUGCCAUUCGUGUUUUUAAGCCAAAGUGUCAACGUUUUAAAACCUGCUCAUCGUUCAGGAAUUAUCGUGAACAGGUCUACUCUAGAUUCUGAACAAAGCUGGUCACGUAUCGAUCAGAGGACCGUAUCGUAUCGUUUCGGCAGAUAUCGAAUCCUUGCGUUAAGAAUGGAAAUUGUAACAUAUUUUGUACAGUACAAGCCUGAAGCUAACGCGAAAUAAGCGUUCUGUUCAAGGAAAAAUAUUUUAUAUACAGUAAUCAAUAUAGUGUUCAUGUAAACUUGUCCAGUAUCGAUAUUCUAUAUAAAUCAGACAAGCAGCAGUGGUUUCAGUAAAUCCUGGUAUACACACACUGUAGUUAGGAGUCAAAACACCACGGAACAUCACGUCGUGGCCGUGCAUUCGUUUAUUAAUUAGUGAUUAGCAUUUCGGAUGACUUUAGGACGAGCGUACAUCAGUUGGAGUAAAAGUCCACUUGUGUAUCACAUUUUGAAACAUCACGGAUUGAUUGUUUAUCGUGUAUUUGUGUUGUUGUUAUUAUUAUUAUUAUUAUUAUUAUUGUUUUGUUUGCUUGUUACUUCACUUGUGUUAGGAGUGCUGUUGGUUUCAUAACGUUGACGUGAGACCCGGUUCAUUUUAUUACAGCAUGUAAUAUUAGCGUAAUCGUAAUGCCACGUGCCUAGUGGUUAGCACAUUCGCCUCACGCCUCCAGGGUCGGGGGUUUGAUUCCCACCGCGGCCCUGUGUGUGUGGAGUCUGCAUGUUCUCCCCGUGCUGCGGGGGUUUCCUCCGGGUACUCCGGUUUCCUCCUCCAGUCCAAAGACAUGAAUGGUAGUCUGAUUGGUGAGUCCAAAGUGUCCGUAGUGUAUGAAUGGGUGUGUGAGUGUGUAUGUGAUUGUGUCCUGCGAUGGACUGGCACCCUGUCCAGGGUGUACCCCGCCUUGUGCCCCAUGCUCCCUGGGAUAGACUCCAGGUUCCCCGUGAACCUGAGAAAGAGUAAGCGGUAUAGAAGAUGGAUGGAUGGAUGGAUGGAUGGAUGGUAAUGCCACGAAAUAGACAUCUGGGUUUUCGUUACACAACACGAUGACGCUGUUUAGUGUAACGAAGAGGAUCUGGUGUAACCAGUACAACAUGCAGUUCGAUCAUUUUAACAUCGUGCUAUUUUAGUCUAAAGCCAGUUUUAAUUGUAAUCUCGUGUUGUGGUGAUGUCUGAAAACAUAUCACGGCUGCAUUCCAGCCUAAAUCGCACUCCACCUCAGGUCCAGUCCGUCCAGUUCCAAAUAAAAAUCCAGUGUGUGACGAGGUCGGGUCGUGACCUCGCUCUGGGACGGGCCACAUUGUGGAACGUGUAAAUAAAUAAAUACAUACAUACAUACAUACAUACAUACAAACAUACAUGACUAUUAUCACAAUACUCAGAGGUUUCUUAGAUAUGUAUCAGAAACAGACAGUACAGUAAUGUCUGUUUGUAAUCUUUUUUUUUAAAUGGGGGGAAAAAAUUAUAAACUAAUAUCUCGUUGAUCAUGAUAUCUGAGAAAAGCAUUUUAUGAAAUAAUAUAUCACAAUUUUAUACACACACACACACACACAUUGUCAGUCCCUGACGGUCUCUCAGAGAGAUGAACUUAUGAUGACUAUAACUCCAUCUGCCGAUGACACACGUUCUAGAAAACAUUAAAAGGAAAAUAUAAAUAAACGUUUUUAAUCAUCGUAUUAAAAAUCACGAUCUGGCUUUGUUUCUCGCUUUAAUCAGAUCCAGGAAAGCGCUGAUUCGUGCGCACGUCUGACGCGUGUCGAGUCUACAGAAGAAAACGUGAAGCGAUGUGGGAAAUCUGAGUGAAAUAUAAAAUGACUCGUGUGGUGUGAGGAAUAAAGGAAUAAAUACAGGGUGUGCGGUUCUAGUAAAGUAAUCAACAGCGGGGCGGGGUGAAGAGGCGGAGUCACUGCCACCCUGAAGCUGAUCGCAUUCCUCCAACAGCAAUUUGUCAUGGAUUACAGAUUAUAUUAUUAUAUUACUAUAAUCCAUUAAAGAACGACACAGCAUACGUUCUCCGUGAAGCAAGUUAGUUCCUGUUCUCGCUUACAUUAUAGCAGCUAUAAACACUCAUUCUGUCACCAUCCCUCUCUUUAUUCUCUCUAUAUUCUCUCUCUCUAUUCUCUCUAUAUUCCCUCCCUCUGUUCUCUCUCCCUCUAUUCUCUCUCUCUAUUCUCUCUUUAUUCUCUCUAUAUUCUCUCUCUCUCUAUAUUCUCUCUCUCAAUUCUCUCUCUAUAUAUUCCAUCUCUCUAUUAUCUCUAUAUUCUCUCUCUAUUCUCUCUAUAUUCCCUCUCUCUAUUCUCUCUCCCUCUAUUCUCUCUCUCUAUUCUCUCUAUAUUCUCUCUAUAUUCUCUCUCUCUCUAUAUUCUCUCUCUCAAUUCUCUCUCUAUAUAUUCCAUCUCUCUAUUCUCUCUAUAUUCCCUCUC
ensembl:lncRNA